GUCGAACGAGAAAGGGUAGCAAUACCUGAGUACAGUGGCGCACGGGUGAGUAACACGUGACUAACCUACCCUGGAGUGGGGAAUAACUGAGGGAAACCUUAGCUAAUACCGCAUAAUACCUACGGGUCAAAGGAGCAAUUCGCUUCAGGAGGGGGUCGCGGCCGAUUAGUUAGUUGGCGGGGUAAUGGCCCACCAAGACAAUGAUCGGUAUCCGGCCUGAGAGGGCGCACGGACACACUGGAACUGAAACACGGUCCAGACUCCUACGGGAGGCAGCAGUGGGGAAUUUUGCGCAAUGGGGGAAACCCUGACGCAGCAACGCCGCGUGGAGGAUGAAAUCCCUUGGGAUGUAAACUCCUUUCGAUCGGGACGAUUAUGACGGUACCGGAAGAAGAAGCCCCGGCUAACUUCGUGCCAGCAGCCGCGGUAAUACGAGGGGGGCAAGCGUUGUUCGGAAUUAUUGGGCGUAAAGGGUGUGUAGGCGGUUUGGUAAGUCGUGUGUGAAAUCUUCGGGCUCAACCCGAAGUCUGCACACGAAACUGCCGGGCUUGAGUAUGGGAGAGGUGAGUGGAAUUCCUGGUGUAGCGGUGAAAUGCGUAGAUAUCAGGAGGAACACCUGUGGCGAAAGCGGCUCACUGGACCAUUACUGACGCUGAAACACGAAAGCUAGGGGAGCAAACAGGAUUAGAUACCCUGGUAGUCCUAGCCCUAAACGAUGACUGCUUGGUGUGGCGGGUACCCAAUCCCGCCGUGCCGUAGCU
rnacentral:rRNA from 1 species